rnacentral:rRNA from 1 species
AUUGAACGCUGGCGGCAGGCUUAACACAUGCAAGUCGAGCGGGGAAGGUUACUUCGGCAACUGACCUAGCGGCGGACGGGUGAGUAAUGCUUAGGAAUCUGCCUAUUAGUGGGGGACAACAUUCCGAAAGGAAUGCUAAUACCGCAUACGCCCUACGGGGGAAAGCAGGGGAUCUUCGGACCUUGCGCUAAUAGAUGAGCCUAAGUCGGAUUAGCUAGUUGGUGGGGUAAAGGCCUACCAAGGCGACGAUCUGUAGCGGGUCUGAGAGGAUGAUCCGCCACACUGGGACUGAGACACGGCCCAGACUCCUACGGGAGGCAGCAGUGGGGAAUAUUGGACAAUGGGCGGAAGCCUGAUCCAGCCAUGCCGCGUGUGUGAAGAAGGCCUUUUGGUUGUAAAGCACUUUAAGCGAGGAGGAGGCUCCUUUAGUUAAUACCUAAAGAGAGUGGACGUUACUCGCAGAAUAAGCACCGGCUAACUCUGUGCCAGCAGCCGCGGUAACAC